ACCCGGUGAACUUCGUAUCAUCUACAUAUAUUUGUGAAAAGUAUAGUCAAAACUUGAUACAAAAUUUUUAUUUACAUUAAAUGCAACAUAUUUAUACACUUAAUUAAUUUUAAAGCUUUCCGAUGGACUACAUUUUUUAUCUUUUCUUGCAGUGCGUAAAUAUAUAAAGAUGGUGGUUUCCCGACUCACGAACAGUCGUCAGGUCGUCUUCUCCUUGACCAAAAAGAUCGGACCUCACUUCACAGCUAGGAACGGACCCAAAGAGAUCGGACCUCAUUACUCAGCUCAGAACAUUGUGUAUUGGAAAACUAAAUUGUCGUUUUUAGUA
rnacentral:lncRNA from 1 species